UACUUGGUUUUGUUUGCUAGUUGUUUUUGAAAUAGGAUGCCAUGCUUCUCAAGCUGGCCUUGAGCUCUCUCGGCCUUCCUGCCUAAUCCUCCAAGAGGGCUUCUUCAUACAGGUAUGGAGAAAAAGACCUAUCAGGCUGAUGCAACUGGGCUACUGAAGUCUUGACUUUAAGGCUGACCUUGGGGCAGAAUCCGAUACUCUGGGACCUGGGAUGGGCAGGACUCUACCGGGACUCAGGUUCCCACCUUGAGUGUGCACCAGGAUCAGCCAGACUAGGGAAGCCCCACCUGCACCUCUCUUUCCCAAACAGCGCACUUUUGGCGGGUAUGCGGGAUGGGUGCGGGGGACAACUUAACCGUGGCUAACUGUGGCUGUUGAAACUUCCACAGAGCCUCCCUCCGCAUGUGUAUGCCUCAGCAGAGCUGGAAGGAGAAAAGCUGAGUCGCCGGUGGAGGGCAGCCGCCCGGGACUCUCGCGAGUCUGGUUGCCAAUUCGGCUGCACGACUGGAUGCUGGAAUCCUGCUUCAACUCCAGUAUCACCUGGCUUCCCAUGUGGAAAAUGACCCAAGAAAAAGUCUGAGCAUUUAAGAGAUACUUGAGGAACCUCGACAGUGUCCUGGACUUCUUAUGAGGGAGGCAGCGAAGACAGCGAAGACAGAGAGAAGGACUGGCGCCCUUCCUUUGAAGAAGUUGAGGAGUUCGCAAGAAAGGGAAAAAAUAAAACACCUUCCAGGAAGAGUUCCUUCUGCAGCACUAGUUCGAGCGCUAAGGACUGCAUCAGUUCGACCAAGAUCCUUGGAAAGCCUAAGCAUUUUUAUUUUAUAUCUAUCACCUCUGCACCUCCUGGAGCAGAAGAUUUUUCUAGUUCUAAACUCUGGGACUUGUCUUUAGAAAGCUUUGAAAUCUUCCAGGAACGAGUGAAUCCCAGGCAAUUUCUCAAACAUGACUCCUAGCCCCUCACUCGAAGGCGACAGAGACUCGGCGAUGGCAGGGAAGGAAGGGCCUCUCAGGAGGUCAGCAGAUCCCAGAACGAGGCUUUCUGUCCAACCAUCAGACCCCACCCCCACCCAGAGACAAAAUACCUCUUCUCUCUCUUCACUCUCUCUUCGCUGCCUUCCUGGCGAUUGGUGAAUCCCCACAAAAAUAAAGCGUUCCGGGUAAUCGGUUUUCA